rnacentral:tRNA from 1 species
GGGAAGGUGCCUGAGAGGUCGAAAGGGGUCGCCUGCUAAGCGAUUGGGGCUGGCGUAAACCGGCCCCCGUGGGUUCGAAUCCCACCCUUCCCG